GAUGAACGCUGGCGGCGUGCCUAACACAUGCAAGUCGAGCGAACGGACGCGGCGUUUGCUUCUCUGACGUUAGGGGCGCACGUGUGUAAAACACGUGUAUAAUGUACCUAACAUACUGAGAACUCCUCGAGACACCGGCGCUAAUACGGGAUAAUCUUCUGAACCACGUGGUGCAAAGGAGAAAGUCGGUGUUGCUGUAUCUAAUAGAGGCAUCUGCGCUGCAUUAGCUAGUAGUGCAGGUAACGGCUUAUCAAGGCAAGGAUGCAUAACCGAGCGGAGAGAGUGAUCGGCCACCCUGGAACUGAGACACGGACCAUACGCCUAAGGGAGGCAGCAGUAGGGAAUCGUCCGCAAUGGGCGAGAGCCUGACGGAGCAGCGCCGCGUGAGUGAUGAAAGUCUUCGGAUCGUAAAACUCUGUUAUUAGGUAAGAACAUAUGUGUAAGUAACUGUGCACAGCUUGACGGUACCUAGUCAGAAAGCCACGGCUAACUACGUG
rnacentral:rRNA from 1 species